AGUGGCGGACGGGUGAGUAACGCGUGAGAAUCUGCCUUGGGGUCGGGGACAACCACUGGAAACGGUGGCUAAUACCGGAUAAGCCGAUUGGUGAAAGAUUUAUUGCCCGAAGAGGAGCUCGCGUCUGAUUAGCUAGUUGGUGAGGUAAGAGCUCACCAAGGCAGCGAUCAGUAGCUGGUCUGAGAGGACGAUCAGCCACACUGGGACUGAGACACGGCCCAGACUCCUACGGGAGGCAGCAGUGGGGAAUUUUCCGCAAUGGGCGAAAGCCUGACGGAGCAAGACCGCGUGAGGGAGGAAGGCUCUUGGGUUGUAAACCUCUUUUCUCAGGGAAGAAGCUCUGACGGUACCUGAGGAAUCAGCCUCGGCUAACUCCGUGCCAGCAGCCGCGGUAAUACGGAGGAGGCAAGCGUUAUCCGGAAUUAUUGGGCGUAAAGCGUCCGCAGGUGGCGAUUCAAGUCUGCUGUCAAAGCACGGGGCUUAACUCCGUAAAGGCAGUGGAAACUGAAUAGCUAGAGUGCCGUAGGGGUAGAGGGAAUUCCCGGUGUAGCGGUGAAAUGCGUAGAGAUCGGGAAGAACAUCGGUGGCGAAAGCGCUCUACUGGACGGCAACUGACACUCAGGGACGAAAGCUAGGGGAGCGAAUGGGGAUUAGAUACCCC
rnacentral:rRNA from 1 species